rnacentral:tRNA from 1 species
GAAGGUGUAGCUCAAGUGGCAGAGUGCAUGCUUAGCAUGCUUGAGGUCCUGGGUUCAGUCCCCAGUACCUCCU